UACGUAGGCAGCGAGCGUUGUUCGGAGUUACUGGGCGUAAAGGGUGUGUAGGCGGUUGUUUAAGUUUGGCGUGAAAUCUCCCGGCUCAACUGGGAGGGUGCGUCGAAUACUGAAUGACUUGGAGUGCGGGAGAGGAAAGUGGAAUUCCUGGUGUAGCGGUGAAAUGCGUAGAUAUCAGGAGGAACACCGAUGGCGAAGGCAGCUCUCGUCGCUAUAACUGACGCUGAGGUGCGAAAGCGUGGGGAGCAAACGGG
rnacentral:rRNA from 1 species